UCCCGCUUAGCUCAGUUGGUAGAGCGCGUCACUAGUAUCUAUGAGAAGCUUAUGACGAGGUCAGUCGUUCAAGUCGGCUAGUGGGAA